rnacentral:sRNA from 13 species
AUUGUUACAAAACUUUUGAAACUACGUAGCCAGAAAAAAAUAUAUAAAAUUUAAAUUUUUUCAAAUAAAGAAGGUAUAAGUGUAGAAAAGUUAUGUCUUUAAGAGCAUAUGUUAUACAUAAAUAGUUUUCGGAACUAGUUUGAAUCGUUAUGAAUACCGUUCUGGAAAUCAAUCCUCCCAAUCGCCAUGAAGAGUUCAAUGGACCCUCGCAAAGUGCGCAACAUUUUGCGGACCGGGUUUGUAGUAGCACACACACACUCGCACAAAAGGUGGACAGGAGGGAUGGAGCAAUCCGAGGAGCGAGCAAUCUUCUGUUUACCCUGCCACAGUCUUUCCUCAUGAUCCUCCACUUCGUGCCUUUUAAUGCCUUUAAUCCUAGCAAAUAAUACAAAGGAGAGAACUCUAGGACAAGUGUAUGGAGGAAUACGAAAAGGCUGAAAAGUGGGGAGAACAUAAUAUACACCGCUAGAAAUCCAGGACUUUUCAAAAUUCAACAACACUACACUAAAGAAUAAACUUUAAACGAUUUUUAAAUGUACCUAUGUAUAUAAAUAGGUACAUAUAUAUAUAUAUAUGGGUUUGAAGGACCAUAUCAAUGCGUAAAAAACUGUGCUACAAUAUAUUUAAUAUAUCCAAUGUUUUUCUCUCUGUGCAGGCGACUGUCGGUGGCUUGGGGACUCGACCUGGGACGUGUCUCUGUUUCUGUCCCUGGCAUAAAACAGAAAGUGUGCAACACACGCUCUUGAAGCCAAGCAAACGACUGCGGACGACCGGGCGGGAGGAUCACCAUCGCCCGGAGGGGAGGCGGCCAGACCCAUGUGGUUGUGGUUCCAACUACGAUUGCAGUGAACUUCUAGCCCAGAGUCAUUGAACUUGUCCUGGGGACUGGAGUGACUCUGGCUGCGACUGCGGCUCUACCACGAUAUCAACACUGGGAUCGUCAUGAUUGUCUUCGGCCACCAGUAUGGUACGUCAUGAUGAGCGUGGUUCGUGGCGCACACAGAGCAGUGGCUUUGUCCCCAGCUGUACCAGUACCACACAGAACCGCACUCUGAAUCCCACUUCUCCAACUUCUAAUCCGACUCCUUCGUAGACAUAAUGAACUUGGGUUUUGGGGCUCGUACGUACUGCGUACGCAAUUCUCAAAUCGUGUUUGCGCCUCCUGAGAUCGUGGAGCCCCUCUCUUGCCACUGCGAUGGGAUCUAGCUGGAUGAGUUGAAACUACUCUUAAAGAGGGUAUAUUAACCUAUUAUUAACAUAUUCAUUAAAGGUUUCUAAUAUAUUAUCAAAUGGUAGAACUAG